AUUUAGGGACCAAUCUUGCCCCCUCGUUUUUCAGCUCUUUACAGGUGCUUUUCAACUGAUAAUUUAGAAGCUUGAUAAAUCACUUAGUAUCAGAUUGGUAAUUAUUCACUUCAUUGUAUUGUUAUUCAAAUUCUUACUUGCACAUUUUAUGAGAAAAGGGUUAAUUGGAGUAAGUAGCUUCUUCACAUGCAUGAAUGAGCUACACGUGUGAGUGAAAGAGUGCAGUGCCCACGGUUGGCAUCAUCGAUGCAUGUUCAGGUUCGUCUUCUACUUUAUAUAAGGCUCACGUGUUAUUUUUCGAAUGAAAUACUUUUUAUGAGAUUAAUAUCUAAGGUUGAUUCUCAUAUGAGUUCUAACAUAUUAAGCUACGAAU
rnacentral:lncRNA from 1 species